AAGGGGCGGUGGGUCCCAGGUGAAAGUCAUGUUCUCUCUGGUUUCUCUACCUGCUUUAAAAACCACAUUUGCUGAUGCUAACAUGCCUCGAGAUAGCCGGGCCAGGCGGGAGCGGAUCCGCAAUGCGCAGCGACGUGCACGUGCAGCAGAGUCAGACGAGGCAAGAAAUGCACGCCAAGCUCGCGAUCGGGUAGGCCACAAACUCGCGCGAGACUCAGAGACACCGGCGAUGCGAGCAGAGCGUCUGGGAAGCAACGCUGCAUGCAUCGCUAGAGCAAGGGCAAAAGAAACGCAGGAGAUGCAAGCGGAGCGACUGGCAGGUAAUGCUAAAUGCACGGCUAACGUGAGAACAACAGAAUCUCGGCAGGUGCGAACAGGACGUCUUGCACGCAACGCUACAUGCACUGCUAAAGCGAGGGCUAAAGGAAUGGAGCAGAUGCGAGCGAAGUGUUUGGCAGGUAAAGCUGCAUGUUCUGCUAAAGCAAAGGCAAAGAAUCGGCAGCAGAUGGGAGCGGCAGAAGCAACACAGCAGUUGCGGGCGGUGUGGCUGGCAAGCAACGCUGCGUGCUCUGCUAACGCGAGGGCAACAGAAACUGAGAAGAUGCAAAGAGAGAUCUCACUUUUUCAAUGUCCAAACUGCUCACAUUGUGGAGCCUUCGUGUGGAAAGAGAUCGAAAAAGGAUAGACCUUUUCAUCAUACACAUUGUGAAUGAACCAUUAAUAUUCAACACCUGCUUCAUUCAGGCUUUUAGAAAUGAAUUCUAACACGAGUAUAAAACAAAUCCUGAUAUUAAAGAACAGCGUUCCACAUAGUGCCAAACUGGAGUGAGUAAAAAUGCUGUAUUGACGCAUAUCCUCAACACUGAAGUCACAGGAAAAGCUAAAAAAUGAGGAUCUAUAUGUUAAUAAAGCACAUCAGACUUAAAGAAAACAUCCUGCAUCACCAGUCAGUGGCCACAGGGUGUCAGUGUGCAGCUACCAAUCUGCUGCAGGAGAGGCAACCCCCUCCAGCCAGCAUCGCUCCACAGACGUCCAGUAUGUCUGAGGAAUUAAUGGCUGUUGUUUAAACAUUGUUUGGAUGCGAGUCCGGGGACCGUCGGUACACACUGAUGCUUCCCUGUACAGCGAGCACGCCGGCCCUGACGAGCUUUGGCCGACUGGCAAGUGUUUCAUUUACUAAAGUGACUGUCUGGAAGAAUUGUGGGCCAUUCAUCUGCGGGACACUGCAGAAAAUCAACUACAUAAUCUAUCUUAAGAUGUGUAGUACACACACACACACACACACACACACACACACACACACACACACACACACACACACACACACACACACACACACUGUUGUUUCUGGGAUGUGACAUCAUUUCUGACCUUUGCCCCCGUGAGAAGAAUUCACUCAGCGUAGUUAAGCUCACAAAAUGGCUCAAUCCUUUUGUCUUCGUCUUGCCGUUUACUGCGGGAUCAGAUUCCCUUUUCAAAGACGCGAUCCGUCCACGACCACUUGGAGGCCCAUUAGCCGGAUUAACUAACCUUCUGAUUGCCACAACAAGGUUCUGUUGUGUUGCAUCACUUGAAUUAAUGAGGCAAGCUGAUGAAAACCAGAGUGACGAAAAAUGGAGCAAAAAAAGGGCCGAUGGUCUCUCAGCAGAGUGAAGAGGACGCCUCGUUUGCCUUAAGUGUUAUCUGUCUGCUGGAUGUCUGCUUUACCUUCAUUUGGUGGUUGUGGUUUGUCAGAACGGGGGGGGGGGGGGGGGGGGAGUUCUGCUAAUCUGGUCGAGAGCUUAAACGUUUCCACUGCACUGAUAAUAAAAUCACUACUUUUCAGGAAGUGCAUCUUCAACAUUAAAACAUUCCUCUGGAUUACACAAAGGAACAUUUCAUUGUUAUUAGUAAAUCUGUCUAAAACAACGAUAAGUCUUAAAAAUCAUUAUAAUGUGCUAGUAUUAUGUCUCAUGUCAAAUGCUGCACGUCUGUCCUGUCAUUGUUUUACCUGUAAAAUGUGUUUGUUUGGAUCCACAAGGCCUUCAAUCUGCAAACACAAUAUUAUCAUAUCAACAUAUCUUAUAUUAAUUCUGGGAUAUACCCUCAAACAGUCAGUCCAGGUUUUGAUUCCCUCGCUUUUAAUUAAAUUCAGGUUCUCAGGCCACAAUAAAUGUUCCCGACUUUUAGUUUGGCCGCACUUCGCUGCAGAUUCAAAAUGGCCGCAGCUCUGAGGUUCCAGCAGCCACUUCAGCUUUCCAUAGACACCGCAGAGCAGCUCGCCGCAGGCCGCACUUUGGUGCUUCCCAGUGAAUUCACCGGUAAUUCUGCGCACACACGCAUAAGUCAGCAGCAACAACAAGCUAGCUAGCUUAAACCAGGCAGCUGAAGUUUGACCUUGUGGAACCGACUCGAGAGAGUCUGACGACGGCCGAUCAAAGGUUCUGAUAAUUCCUCUGACCCGAUGGGAGCAGUUGAUUGAGCCGUGAUCAGUCCUCGCUCCCCGCUGUACAUUGCACGACAAACGACGCUGAAAUUCGGCUCUAAGAUGAGUCAUACGUCUCAAAAAUCGGGUCAGAAACCGGUUUAAAUCAUAAUACUGUCGUGCAUCUUAACAGGAAUGUACAUUUAUCAGCAGAUUAUGUUUUCAAGUUGAAAUGUUUCAAUGCCCGAAAGAGAAAAGUAAAAGAAACGGCAACACAGAGCGGUUAGAAGAAGUGCUGCCGGCGACAGAUGCCACAGACCUCAAACGCACCUUUUACCGAAACUCUUUCCUUACGCUGCGGCACAAAAAAGAAAGUUAAUUUAAAGCUGAAUUACAUAAAACACAUACGGUUGGGUUUAAAUGACUACUUUGAGGUUACUAUAAUAACCACAUGGACUAUGUUACUGAUCGUGGUGAUGGUUUAAAAUAAAUGCUAUAUGAAUGCUAAUUAGUAGCAUUAGCAUUUUUGUAGGCGACAGUUUGGUUUGAAUCAUUUUAAAUGUUUUUGUUUCAUGUGUUUUUAAUGUUUUGGGGCAUUUACUGAAACUGAUGCCGUCGGACAGUCUUAAAACAAACCUUUGGAUGUUAAUUCCUCUUAAAGUUGUUGGCUAACACAUUAGCUGUUUGGCUAACGCAUUAGCUGUUUGGCUACUCAGCCGACACAGAGCAACAUUAGUGUCAUUUAGAGUCUUGUCUGUGUCCUAUAUGACUGUAAGUCUAA
ensembl:lncRNA